GACGAACGCUGGCGGCGUGCCUAACACAUGCAAGUCGAACGAAGUGGCGAACGGGUGAGUAACGCGUAAUCAACCUGCCCUUCAGAGGGGGACAACAGUUGGAAACGAAUGCUAAUACCGCCUAAUGAAGGAGGGGAUUGCGUGUGAUUAGCUAGUUGGUGGGGUAACGGCCCACCAAGGCGAUGAUCAGUAGCCGGGCGUAGAGGAUGAAUGGCCAAAUUGGGACUGAGACACGGCCCAGACGCCUACGGGAGGCAGCAGUGGGGAAUCUGCCGCAAUGGACGGAAGUCUGACGGAGCAACGCCGCGUGAGUGAUGACGGCCUUCGGGUUGUAAAGCUCUGUUAAUCGGGACGCGGUACCGGAAUAGAAAGCCACGGCUAACUACGUGCCAGCAGCCGCGGUAAUUC
rnacentral:rRNA from 1 species